rnacentral:SRP_RNA from 1 species
UUUUGCUGGAAAUUUGAAAAAAGAGGAGUUUUUUUCAUCGCCCCCCCUUCCGGGAAAUGAAAAAUCUGGUAGAAUGCUUUUUAUUGAGAGGACCUUCAGAAUGGGUCCUGGCAACGGGAGAGCACGAACCUGGUCAGGGGUUUGCGCCAGCAGCCAUAAGUGUCGCCUUUCGUGUGUUCAGGAUCCUUUCUGGAGGUCUUUUUCAUUGAGGAUAUUCCAGUUGUGUAAAA